CAGCAACAGGCUUGUGGGACUUCUCCAGACACGCAGAGAUCAGAUGGAUGAAGCUCAUGACGGUUAUCAGAAGCAUCAGGACUCCUGAAGACGGCGGUGUUUAUGGAGAAAUUCUGGACACGGUAGCUGCUGGUGAACAUUGAACCCAGUCCCAGAAUGAGGACGGCAUAAAUGCUGAAUGUGUGCCGCAUGUACUUGAUCAAGAAGAAGUUCUGCAGGGUGAACCUGUAUGAGUUUAGCAACAAACAUGGUAAAAAAAGACUUCUGAGAUGAUUUGAGUGAUGAUUGCAAGAACGAUGCUGCCAGCGUGCAUCGCCAAAUGGGAACCAGUAUUUUCGAUCCGGGGAAACAUGGUGGAAGUCGUUGUACGCUGUGAUAUGCUGACCGACUGCAGCGGGGAGAUUCUGAAGACAACGUAUUAGUACUAUUAUC